rnacentral:tRNA from 1 species
CAUUGGAUAGCUCAAGCGGAUAGAGCAUCGGAUCAAAAUUCCGAGUGUCGAAGGUUCGAAUCCUUCUCCACCCU